GCCUACAGCCAUGCUACCCUGAACGUGCCCGAUCCUAUCUGAUCUCACAAGCUAAGCAAGGUCGGGCCUGGUUAGUACUUGGAUGGGAGACCACCUAGGAAGACCAGGUGUUGUAGGGG
rnacentral:rRNA from 1 species